GGCAAGUUGGCCGAGUGGUUAAGGCGACGCACCCGAGUAUCCAUACUUCGCUCUGUUACAGAGUGUGCAUUUCGUUCUCGAAAGGGGCGUGAGUUCGAAUCUCACAGUUGUCA